CUGUGCCCUGGGGCUGCUUGUGUCCAUGGCCUGUUUGUUUUCUGUAAUCUGUUUUUAUUUUCAAGAGAAGCAACCUGGUGUGAUGAAAAAGCAGAGAACCUGGCUUUGAGGUGUACGUCUGUCACUGAGGGCCUGGGUGCUGCUGGGCAAAGGGUUUGGUUUUGAGGUGUCUCUUUUUCCUCAUCCAGAAACCAGGGAUAGUCAUGCAUGUUUCAGAAGACAGCUGUGGGAAGCAAGUUCCGGUAGGUCACAUUAUCUGGUGGAGUAACAGCCAGGUAGCAGGUGCUCAACUAACACGCCCCUUUCUCUUUUCCUCCGCGUUGUAUGAACAGUAUCUAUUACUAGUUAUUGAAUAGCUAUAAUCACUUAUAGGCCAGGUUCUGGAUAAUGUGCUGUACAAGCAUUGCGUCAUUUAAUUCAAGCACCAGUCAAGUGAGAGAGCUACUACCCUCAUUCCUAAUUUACUGAUGAUGAAACUGGGGCUCAGGUUGGUACAAAAGGACCAGAGUUUCUCUGUGACAGAACUGGGCUGUAAACCCAUCCUUGGGUCUCCCGAGUGCACUCUCUCUGCUUUCACUCAAAUGCCUUUCAUUGCACAAGCACACACCCCAUGGCGCGGCCUGUGGAGCCUUCGUAGGGUUGGAUCCCCAGCUCACAGUGUCACAGGCUUCCUUCUGGACCCCGAGGAUGCAGUGAUGAUCAAGUCCAAGGCCUCCCUCAUGGAGUUUCCAUCCCAGUUAGGAAACAGAUGAAACAGCAAGUCAACAAGCAGGACGUGGCCUCAUACUGUGGUAGGUGAUGUGAAAAGAGCAGGAAUGAGAGGUGUGACCUGGGGCUAGGGAGUAGAAGGGAGAGACUUUAAAUAAGGGUGUUCACGGAAGCCUUCCCCAAGGAGGUGCCCGGAGGCUGGUGUGAAGCGGAGUGUGUGAAGGAGGAGGCAGGGAUGAGGUCAGGCUCAGCAAGGAGCUGGGGAUUUACUCCCCAGUGAUGGAAGAUGAUGUUCCGUUGGGGCUCUUGGGCCCGUGACCCUCGGCGCCAACCGCAGUGUUGGGAGAAAGGCCCCAUCUCCAAGAAGCGGCUGUGCCGUUGCACGGAAACCAAUCAUGCCACUUAUCGCCCCAGUUUGAAAAGUAAUUGCAGGCACAUGUGUAAAGGGCAGGGCAAUCUUUUCUGCCAAUUAUGUGCCCUGCUAUUAGGCGAUUAGCAGCUGGUAAAGUCACAGUGAGGGAUUAGCGGUACAGUCCCCUCUCCCAUUGCCUUGCCAUUUCUGCUUCUCGCAAGGGUGCCUUCUUCCCUCCCCAGGUGCCCAUCACUGCUUGACCAGGUGCCUCUCCCAAAUUAUGUCCCCUCAACACACUUGUCCUUGUCUAUAAAAGGAAAAAAGCCUGAAAGAGAUCCCUGUAAAACUGCAGUUGAAAAACAAGGUUAGGUCUGCCCAGCCAGGAGAUUGCAAACUUGUGUUGACAGCACUAUUUGUGAAGGCUGUUUGGUCCCGUGUGUUUCCAAAGCUGUUUAUCAACCAGGCUGUGCUGGUCCUUGCUGCACUUUCAUGCACAUGCUACCUUUAUUGUUUUAUUUGGCAUUCGUGUCUGUGCACAUCUGCCCAUUUCUUUGGGCCUUAUAUUCACUAAUCCAUCUGUCCCUUCAUUCUUUAAGCCAGUAUUUAAUUAAGCAUCUAUUUUCUGCCUGGCAUAGACCUGUUCUUGGAAAUUAACAUUGACGUCUAGUGGUUAAGAGCUUCAGGAUCAAGUUGUCCUGAAUUCAAGUCCCAGACAGUUAUUAGCUAUUUUUGUAGUCAGUGUUUUCAUCUGAAAAAUGGGGAUGGUGGCAGGCUGGGAUUCUAACCCUCCUUAUCCACCCUCGUUCUCAGCCCCAGUGGAUACAGGGCUUCUAGCCUCACAUCCCAUCCAGUUACGGCCCAACAGGGGUCAACGGCUGUGAGAGGACUUUGGUUGGUUAUGUGUGCCCCACUCUGCAGGUGUAGAUCCAAUGGCAGGGCAGCUCUGCAGGAUGUGAUGGGGGAGGGGUGGGACUCAUGGGACUCGAGGAACUGGAUUCACCUGGAAGCCUGGGAGGAAGAAAGAGGGGAAGGAGAAAGGAAGGAGGAGCAGAAACAAGAGAAGGAGAGAAGGAGCCUUCCAAACAUGCAUCUAAGGCGUCUAGACCAGCUAUCCUGUACUGAAGCUACUGCACACCUUGGUUGGUUCAGGGCGUAUCUUAAACCCGACCACUAAGGAUCAAGUCCUGGCUCUGCCCCUUGUUAGCUGUGGGACCCUAGGAAAGUAAAGCCUUUAACGUCUCUGUGCCUCACUGUUUGAUCUCUAAUAACAGGACUUACCUCCUAGGGGGCUGGCAGAAUUCAAUGAGUGCGUACACGUAAAAUGCUUAGAAUGAUGUCCAGCACAGAGUGGUCAUGAAAUAAACCUUGGCAGUUAAGAAAUUCUCUAAGUCUCUUCCCACAUACUCCUCCUCCUUUCCUGCCUGUGUUUCACCAGAACACUUGUCACUGUCUUCUCUCACAUUUUUUUAUAUUGCUCAUUCCCCCCGCUCCCACACACACACCUACUAGAAUUCAGGUUUCUUGAAGUCUGGGGUUUUUGUCUGUUUUGUUCAUGACUGUAUUCUAGCUCUAGUUCCUGGAACAGUGCUUGGCACAGGAAAGGGUCACAAUCAAUACUUAAUGAAUGAAUGGAUAAAUAAAAGGAUGAACAAGUUAUUAUCCUAUGGACUCUAAUUGUGUUCUUGAUUAGCUCUGAGUAAUGAUGGGCUCCCUGCCCAAAUUUUCAGACAUUGUGAGCAUAGUGGUGGUGUUUUAUAAUAAUAGUGGUAUCAACUUUCUGAGGAUGGAGUAUGGUUACAUCUGUGAGGUACCCAGGGUCAGCGCCUGGUAGUGACAUCCUUGCGUUGUAUGGUGUACCGUCUCCUCCAAGACACCUGGGUGCUCACCAGGGUUUCUGACCAUGGUGGGGAAUCUAUGACUGGUAAUAACUGAGAGAUGAGGGGGGUGCACCCAAGACUGUACAAUCUGGUUCUUUGAUUAUCUCCAUCGUGAGGGUGGUGAAACCAGGUAGCCAGCCCCUCGAACUAUAGCUCCUUGAUGGUGGUUCUCUGGAAUCAGUGAGAAUUUUACCGUCUUGUGACAAGUUACUACUGUCCAUAGACACUCCAUCUUAGAUGAGACAGGAGUGGCUGGGACUGACAUAUUUAGUAACUUCAGUUCCGUGGACAGUCCCAUAAACGUGCAGGUGCCCAGUUCUGCCCCUGGAGGAGCUGAUUCCAAACCCUUGGUGACCACGGUCUUCUUCUCAAACUGCUGGGUGGUGUGUGAGGCCCUUGAAUUCUGGCUGAUUUCACGGAACAAGGGGUUGGAAGGGAUGAUCUGUGGAACAGCCAGAGUCCAAUCCACUUCGUAAAAGAGGCCGCUAGGUGUUCCAUACGAGUCAGGUCAUUUCAUUUGCGUAGCUGUCUGUGGUAUAGAAACUAUCAGCAGCCCCCUUUGCUUAACAGGCAUCUGCAACUCACUUCUGCAAGGCGAGAGGAGGGUCUUUUUUACUAACAUAUGAAGACAGCUGGCCAAGAGUUUAUGUUCUGUAGUUGAAGCGUUCAGAUGCAAGCUCUUUAUCCACUACUUGUGUGCUUUAGUUCAGUCAUUUUAAAGUGGAGCUAGAAAAAGAACCAGCCUCUUAAAGUUGUCAUUAAGUAAUCUGAUAUAUGAAAAGUGCUUAGACUUGUGAAUUAUCACUGUUAUUAAUGAAAGUAUUACCUAAUUAUAACAAAUAAUUCAAUGAAGUAUAACAAAAUUUCAAAUAGGUAAUAAAUAAAUAGCAAUAAAAUAGGAAAUUUUUAAAUCAAACACUUCUCAAUCAAUAUUACUUUUACUUCUGUACUUUUAUUUCAUGCGAGUGCUCAUUGAUGGUGAGUUAAAUAGCUCGCCUAAGCCUCUUCUAGGAAGUGACAGAGUGCAAAUUAACCUCAGGUGUCUGACUCCAAAGGCUGUGCUUAUUGGCAAGAGGGGAAAGUGAGGCUUCAAGAAUACUGAUCCCUUCUCUGCUAAGGCACAAAUAGGCCAUCAAGACUGGCCUAAGACUCAGGUGCUUGAACUCCCAGGUCAGUGCUUUCUUCUGUGUCCCCCAGUGAGUCUGUCUGUCAUUGGUCGUCGGUGAAGGGGUUGAUCAUAUUUCACAUGAAGCUGGUAAGGAUUCAGCGAGAAAAACAUGAGUGUGAAUUACUUGGAAAAGUGCCUGGCAUUUAAUAAAGUUAAUAAACAUCACACCUCUCCUGAUUGUUGAUCAUGUGUGCACAUAUCAAUGCACAGAUGUUAUUUUGAAAUCCUGCAUAUGUUUGGCACUGGACUUAUUGAGAAUGUCUAUGAGAGUAAGACUUGGUUCCUCACCUUAAGCAGCUAAUAGCCCAGAGAGAGAUUCCAGUGAAUUAAUAAUGGCAUGUUCUAAGUGUAAUCAACUCAGUCUGUGUGGAUCAGGGGCACCUUCCUGGAGAAAGUAGCAUUUGAGAUGAUUGGAUCAUAACAGUGAGUUGUGACCCACAAGAAAAAUUCAAGACAGCAGCAUGUGCAAAGGUCCUGUGAAUGAAGUAGCUUUGCGUGAUGUGGGGUGAACAGUAGAAUGUUCUACACAGCUGGUGCUCGUGCUUUGUUAAGGGAGGUAAACUAGAGCAGCUGUGUAGAAUCUUCAUGUAUGACCCUGAAUGCCAAGUUAAAGAUGUGGUAUUAAAAGCAAUGGGAGCCUUCGAAGGUUUUAUAUGUAUGCCGAGAACAGAUACAGGAACAAAAAGCCAGGAACAUAGUGGCUCUUUUUAACUGUUGAGUAAAAUAAUGCCUAGAUCAUAGUAAAUGCUUGGUAUUUGUUUAAUUAAAAAUUUCUUUGGCAACAAUAUGAAAAUCAGAUGGGGGAGUUGGAGGUGUAUGGAAAUCUAAAGAUCAGUUACUUAGCUUGAUU
rnacentral:lncRNA from 1 species